AUUCGUAUGGACCAAAAUGUCAUCAUGUGGCGUUCUACACUGCAAGUCCCCAUCGGGUCAAUCUCCAACGAGAUAAUAAUAAGGUCCAAGAGUUUCUAUCGAUACAAAGUGGACAUCUGUAAGUUUGGUUUAGUUUGGUAGAGAUUAUUAGAGGCUAAAAUGAAUUCUCUAAAUAGCCACAGUUGGUUUGUGGUGUGUAGUAAAAACAAGAAAAAGUACUUUUAAAAGAAUUUUUGAAUAAGUUAGGGCCAAAAUCAGAAGCAGUCUUUGGGCUGCUUCUGAUUGUAGAACAAGUUUGAUUUAAUGAAACUUUUGUUAUUCUCCAUUUACCCCUGUUGAAUGAAAAAAAUCCCACGCCAUUACCAGGUACUGUUCUCUCUUCUCUCACGAGUUCUCUCGUCUCCCUCUCUGCUCUCUCCGAAAUCAAGCUCUUCCCUCUUUGUUCUCUCGUUCUCCCUUUGUGCUUUACAGGGUUUUAAUCUCUGCCUGUGAUUGAAGUUUUGGUGGACUCUCUCUCCCUUCUCUCAGUCAUACAUGGCUGUGGUGGUUAGGGUUUCCUGAUUGUGGGAUUGCCGGUUGGAGCUCAACAGAUCCAAGAGUAUCGCCGCUAAACUGUCCGAUUGAUCUGAAGGAAGCGAUUUCAAGUGUAAUAUUUGCAUCUUCGAGAUGUGUAGAUGUACCGGAACUAACGGAUAUCAGGAAGCAUUUAACAGUAAAAUAUGGAAAGGAAUUUAUUACUAUAGCUAUCGAAUUGCGUCGAGAUUGUGGCGUAAAUUGCAUGUUGGAGAAAUUAUCUGCCAAGGCACCCGAUGGUCAGACCAAGCUUAAAAUCUUAACUGCGAUUGCAGAGGAACAUAGUUAUUGUAGGCGUUUUCGUUUACGAAGCAAGUUAUUCGUUUACGAAGCUAGUUAUUCAUUUAUGAAGAGAAUCAACCAGAGGACAAUGUAGAAGAAAAUCAAGCUUUAUUAUCACAAGAAAUGGAUGAAGUACGAGAUCAAAUUGCAGCAAGUUUAAUGAGCAUGAUUUAAUUCUUUUAAUGCCUCUCAGUUGUUGAACAUAGAAUGUACAUUUUUGUUGUAUACGUUGAUUACUCACUAAUGCUCUUUUUUGUUGUAACUAU